rnacentral:rRNA from 1 species
UACGUAGGGUGCAAGCGUUGUCCGGAAUUAUUGGGCGUAAAGGGCUCGUAGGCGGUUUGUUGCGUCAGGAGUGAAAACUCGGGGCUUAACCCCCGAGCCUGCUUCUGAUACGGGCAGACUAGAGGUAUGCAGGGGAGAACGGAAUUCCUGGUGUAGCGGUGAAAUGCGCAGAUAUCAGGAGGAACACCGGUGGCGAAGGCGGUUCUCUGGGCAUUACCUGACGCUGAGGAGCGAAAGUGUGGGGAGCGAACAGG